AUUGAACGCUGGCGGCAGGCCUAACACAUGCAAGUCGGGCGAGUGGCGGACGGGAGAGUACUGCAUGGGGAUCUGGCUGAUGGAGGGGGAUAACUACGGGAAACUGUAGCUAAUACCGCAUACCAUAGGAUGAGCCCAUAUGGGAUUGGGGAGUUGGUAAGGUAAAGGCGUACCAGGCCGACGAUCCCUAGCUGGUCUGAGAGGAUGACCAGCCACACUGGGACUGAGACACGGCCCAGACUCCUACGGGAGGCAGCAGUGGGGAAUAUUGCACAAUGGGCGCAAGCCUUACGCAGCCAUGCCGCGUGUAUGAAGAAGGCCUUCGGGUUGUAAAGGACUUUCAGUGGGGAGGCGUUACCCACAGAAGAAGCACCGGCUAACUCCGUGCCAGCAGCCGCGGUAAUAC
rnacentral:rRNA from 1 species